UUAAUGCAUGACUAUAACUUUUGAUUAACUUAUAAUUACUUUAUCUAAAGGUUAAACACUGGACAUAUAACCUUCAGUUGAGCUGCUGUGAUUGGAUAACAUCUGUGGGUUGUUCCCUCAACGGCUCACUGAUUGGCUAAACCAGAACCAGUUCUGAGCCACAACACAAAAGUCACCAGUUGGGGGCGUGGUUUGCCAACUGCCGAAAAGAAACUCACGAAGAAGAAAAAUCAGCAGAAAAAGACGAAGAAGAAUCACAUAAAGCAACAUGGCGAACAUUCGGUGUGUCAAGGGCAUGGUGGGUCUGGUGACGGGCGGUGCGUCAGGUUUGGGCCGGGCCACCGUGGAGCGUCUGAUCCAGAUGGGAGCGUCCGCUGUGAUCCUGGACCUGCCCUCCUCUGACGGAGCCGCCCUGGCAGCCAGUCUGGGGGCCCGCUGUGCCUUCGCUCCUGCUGACGUGAGGCCAAAACUUACCAGAAACAAUCAUUCAUUCAAA